rnacentral:rRNA from 1 species
AGCUCCAAUAGCGUAUAUUAAAGUUGUUGCAGUUAAAAAGCUCGUAGUUGGAUUUCUGGCAGGAGUGACCGGUCACGCACUCUGUGCGUGAACUUGUGUUGUCUCUGGCCAUCCUUGGGGAGAUCCUAUUUGGCAUUAAGUUGUCGGGUAGGGGAUACCCAUCGUUUACUGUGAAAAAAUUAGAGUGUUUAAAGCAGGCUUAUGCCGUUGAAUAUAUUAGCAUGGAAUAAUAAGAUAGGACUUCGGAACUAUUUUGUUGGUUUGCGUUACGAAGUAAUGAUUAAUAGGGACAGUUGGGGGUAUUCGUAUUUCGUUGUCAGAGGUGAAAUUCUUGGAUUUCCGAAAGACGAACUACUGCGAAAGCAUUUACCAAGGAUGUUUUCAUUA